rnacentral:tRNA from 1 species
CUGGUUAGCUUAGUUGGUAGAGCGCUGCACUGGAAAUGGAGAGGUUCCUGGUUCGAUACAAGGACCAG